rnacentral:rRNA from 1 species
UACGUAGGGUCCGAGCGUUGUCCGGAAUUACUGGGCGUAAAGAGCUCGUAGGCGGUGUGUCGCGUCGGCCGUGAAAACCUGGGGCUUAACUCUGGGCGUGCGGUCGAUACGGGCAUCACUAGAGUUCGGCAGGGGAGACUGGAAUUCCUGGUGUAGCGGUGAAAUGCGCAGAUAUCAGGAGGAACACCGGUGGCGAAGGCGGGUCUCUGGGCCGAUACUGACGCUGAGGAGCGAAAGCAUGGGUAGCGAACAGG